UACGGAGGGUGCAAGCGUUAUCCGGAUUUACUGGGUUUAAAGGGUGCGUAGGUGGGUAGGAAAGUCAGUGGUGAAAUCUUCGGGCUUAACCCGGAAACUGCCAUUGAUACUAUUUAUCUUGAAUACUUUGGAGGUAAGCGGAAUAUGUCAUGUAGCGGUGAAAUGCUUAGAUAUGACAUAGAACACCAAUUGCGAAGGCAGCUGGCUACACAAAUAUUGACACUGAGGCACGAAAGCGUGGGAUCAAACAGGA
rnacentral:rRNA from 1 species